rnacentral:rRNA from 1 species
GAUGAACGCUGGCGGCGUGCCUAAUACAUGCAAGUCGAGCGAACAGACGAGGAUCUUGCUCCUCUGACGUUAGCGGCGGACGGGUGAGUAACACGUGGAUAACCUACCUAUAAUACUGGGAUAACUUCGGGAAACCGGAGCUAAUACCGGAUAAUAUAUUGAACCGCAUGGUUCAAUAGUGAAAGACGGUUUUGCUGUCACUUAUAGAUGGAUCCGCGCCGCAUUAGCUAGUUGGUAAGGUAACGGCUUACCAAGGCAACGAUGCGUAGCCGACCUGAGAGGGUGAUCGGCCACACUGGAACUGAGACACGGUCCAGACUCCUACGGGAGGCAGCAGUAGGGAAUCUUCCGCAAUGGGCGAAAGCUUGACGGAGCAACGCCGCGUGAGUGAUGAAGGUCUUCGGAUCGUAAAACUCUGUUAUUAGGGAAGAACAAAUGUGUAAGUAACUAUGCACGUCUUGACGGUACCUAAUCAGAAAGCCACGGCUAACUACGUG